rnacentral:rRNA from 1 species
UACAGAGGUCCCAAGCGUUGUUCGGAUUCACUGGGCGUAAAGGGUGCGUAGGCGGUUGGAUAAGUCUGAUGUGAAAUCUUCGAGCUCAACUCGGAAACUGCAUCGGAAACUAUCCAGCUUGAGGAUUGGAGGGGAGACUGGAAUUCUCGGUGUAGCAGUGAAAUGCGUAGAUAUCAGGAGGAACACCGAUGGCGAAGGCAGAUCUCUGGGCCGUAACUGACGCUGAGGAGCGAAAGCAUGGGGAGCGAACAGG